rnacentral:rRNA from 1 species
CAGCAGCCGCGGGAAUACGUAGGGUGCGAGCGUUAAUCGGAAUUACUGGGCGUAAAGCGGGCGCAGACGGUUACUUAAGCAGGAUGUGAAAUCCCCGGGCUCAACCUGGGAACUGCGUUCUGAACUGGGUAACUAGAGUGUGUCAGAGGGAGGUAGAAUUCCACGUGUAGCAGUGAAAUGCGUAGAGAUGUGGAGGAAUACCGAUGGCGAAGGCAGCCUCCUGGGAUAACACUGACGUUCAUGCCCGAAAGCGUGGGUAGCAAACAGGAUUAGAUACCCCUGUAGUCCCUGUCUCUUAUAC